rnacentral:rRNA from 1 species
AUUGAACGCUGGCGGCAGGCUUAACACAUGCAAGUCGAGCGAGCGGCGGACGGGUGAGUAAUGUCUGGGAAACUGCCUGAUGGAGGGGGAUAACUACUGGAAACGGUAGCUAAUACCGCAUACCAUCAGAUGUGCCCAGAUGGGAUUAGCUAGUAGGUGGGGUAAUGGCUCACCUAGGCGCCGAUCCCUAGCUGGUCUGAGAGGAUGACCAGCCACACGGGAAGUGAGACAAGGUCCAGAAUCCUACGGGAGGCAGCAGGGGGGAAUAUGGCACAAUGGGCUAAAGCCUGAGGAAGCAAGGCCGCGUGUGUGAAGAAGGCCUUCGGGUUGUAAAGCACUUUCAGCGAGGAGGCGUUACUCGCAGAAGAAGCACCGGCUAACUCCGUGCCAGCAGCCGCGGUAAUUC